rnacentral:rRNA from 1 species
UAGUGGCGAACGGCUGAGUAACGCGUAGGUGACCUACCCCGUAGUGUGGAAUAACUGCCCGAAAGGGUAGCUAAUACCGCAUGUUGAGCCGACAUCGAUGUCGUCUCCAAAGCAGAAAUGCGCUAUGGGCGGGGCCUGCGUUCGAUUAGCUAGUUGGUGGGGUAAUGGCUCACCAAGGCGACGAUCGAUAGGUGGUCUGAGAGGACGAUCACCCAGACUGGGACUGAGACACGGCCCAGACUCCUACGGGAGGCAGCAGUAGGGAAUAUUGGGCAAUGGGCGCAAGCCUGACCCAGCGACGCCGCGUGAGGGAUGAAGGUCUUCGGAUUGUAAACCUCUUUCAGUAGGGAAGAAGCGAAAGUGACGGUACCUAAAGAAGAAGCACCGGCUAACUAUGUGCCAGCAGCCGCGGUAAUACAUAGGGUGCAAGCGUUGUCCGGAAUUAUUGGGCGUAAAGAGCUCGUAGGUCGUUUGUCGCGUCGAUUGUGAAAAUCUGAGGCUCAACCUCAGACCUGCAGUCGAUACGGGCAAACUAGAGUGUGGUAGGGGAGACUGGAAUUCCUGGUGUAGCGGUGGAAUGCGCAGAUAUCAGGAGGAACACCAAUGGCGAAGGCAGGUCUCUGGGCCAUAACUGACACUGAGGAGCGAAAGUGCGGGGAGCGAACAGGAUUAGAUACCCUGGUAGUCCGCACCGUAAACGGUGGGCACUAGUUGUGGGAACCUUCCACGGUUUCCGCGACGCAGCAAACGCAUUAAGUGCCCCGCCUGGGGAGUACGAUCGCAAGAUUAAAACUCAAAGGAAUUGACGGGGCCCCGCACAAGCAGCGGAGCAUGCGGCUUAAUUCGACGCAACGCGAAGAACCUUACCAAGGCUUGACAUAUAGCGAAAAGUGGCAGAGAUGUCAUGUCCGCAAGGGCGCUAUACAGGUGGUGCAUGGUUGUCGUCAGCUCGUGUCGUGAGAUGUUGGGUUAAGUCCCGCAACGAGCGCAACCCUCGUUCUGUGUUACCAGCAUUUAGUUGGGGACUCACAGGAGACUGCCGGGGUCAACUCGGAGGAAGGUGGGGAUGACGUCAAAUCAUCAUGCCCCUUAUGUCUUGGGCUGCACGCAUGCUACAAUGGCCGGUACAAAGUGCUGCGAGAUCGUAAGAUUGAGCGAAUCACAUAAAGCCGGUCUCAGUUCGGAUUGAGGUCUGCAACUCGACCUCAUGAAGUCGGAGUUGCUAGUAAUCGUAGAUCAGCAACGCUACGGUGAAUACGUUCCCGGGGCUUGUACACACCGCCCGUCACGUCACGAAAGUCGGUAACACCCAAAGUUAGUGGCCCAACCGCAAGGGGGGAGCUACCUAAGGUGGGAUCGGUGAUUGGGAC